rnacentral:tRNA from 1 species
CCCCCCUUAGCUCAGUUGGUCAGAGCAGUCGACUCAUAAUCGAUUGGUCGCUGGUUCAAGCCCGGCAGGGGGGACCA